AUUGAACGCUGGCGGCAGGCUUAACACAUGCAAGUCGAGCGAGAGGCGGACGGGAGGAUAAUGUCUAGGAAACAGCCUGAUGGAGGGGGAUAACUACAGGAAACGGUAGCUAAUACCGCCUACCACCAAAUGUGACAAGAGUGGAAUUGUUAGUAGGUGGGGUAAUGGCUCACAUAGGCGACGAGCCCUAGCAGGUCUGCGAGGAUGACCAGCCACACGGGAACUUAGACACGGCCCAGACUCCUACGGUAGGCAGCAGUGGGGAAUAUUGCACAAUGGGCGCAAGCCUGAUGCAGCCAUGCCGCGUGUGUGAAGAAGGCCGUCGGGUUGUAAAGCACUUUCAGCGAGGAGGCGUUACUCGCAGAAGAAGCACCGGCUAACUCCGUGCCAGCAGCCGCGGUAAUAC
rnacentral:rRNA from 1 species